rnacentral:tRNA from 1 species
GCCCACGUGGCUCAGGAGGUUAGAGCGCACCCUUGGUAAGGGUGAGGUCGGCGGUUCGACUCCGCCCGUGGGCACCA